rnacentral:rRNA from 2 species
GGGGAAUAUUGGGCAAUGGGCGCAAGCCUGACCCAGCAACGCCGCGUGAAGGAAGAAGGCUUUCGGGUUGUAAACUUCUUUUGUCAGGGACGAAAAAAAUGACGGUACCUGACGAAUAAGCCACGGCUAACUACGUGCCAGCAGCCGCGGUAAUACGUAGGUGGCAAGCGUUAUCCGGAUUUACUGGGUGUAAAGGGCGUGUAGGCGGCCUUGUAAGUCAGAUGUGAAAGGCUACGGCUCAACCGUAGUAAGCAUUUGAAACUGCAGGGCUUGAGUGCAGGAGAGGAGAGUGGAAUUCCUAGUGUAGCGGUGAAAUGCGUAGAUAUUAGGAGGAACACCAGUGGCGAAGGCGACUCUCUGGACUGUAACUGACGCUGAGGCACGAAAGCGUGGGGAGCAAACA